GUUGUUUCGUAGAGUAUGUAGAAUUCGAGAUAUCUGGUUUGAAAUCGGAUUUUGUAAAUACUACCAACCCAACGAACAUUUAUGGCCAUACCAGCCCUGUACGCACAUCCGAAAUAAAAAUGAAACUUGUAGAUUCCACCCAUUAUAGGCAAGAACACGAUGUAAUAUUUGGUAUGUUUUUGUUUCGCAAUGAAGAUAAAUUGUUCAAUGAUCAUCCUCAAAGCAGCAGACAAACUCCAUAGAGCAACACAAGGAAACUGUGAUCUGAUACCAUAAAUAUAUAUCAACAUGUCUGAAUUAAUAAUCAAAUAUAUAAUUCAAUAUUAAAAUUACACAAAUUAUUGUACAAUGAAUUAAAUAU